rnacentral:tmRNA from 1 species
GGGGGUGCUUGUGGAUUCGACGGGAUUGAUCGUUGGAUUGGAUUGCAUGCAGAUAACCACGGGUGAAUCUUUAAAAGUCUCGUGAAAAAAACAAAUGCAAAUAAUAAUUACGCAUUAGCAGCUUAAGACUAAGCCGCUCGUUCACCGCCGGAGUCCCUACUUCUCUUGCGCUUGAACGUCAUUCUGAGUAGGUUUGCUCAAAAUCUUGCCUGAGGGUUUAGAGCGCGAUAAAUCGGGAUCGCAGGGCUGAUACCGGGUCUGUCCGGAGUCGGAACUGUUAAAUCUAAAGACAGACUAAGCAUGUAGCGGUCCUUUCAGACGCUUUUUCGGACAGGGGUUCAACUCCCCUCAUCUCCACAA